GAGAGUUUGAUUCUGGCUCAGGACGAACGCUGGCGGCGUGCCUAACACAUGCAAGUCGAGCGAGGAGAUUCCCUUCGGGGAUGAACCUAGCGGCGGACGGGUGAGUAACACGUGGGCAACCUGCCUUAUAGAGGGGAAUAGCCUUCCGAAAGGAAGAUUAAUACCGCAUAACAUUACAUUUUCGCAUGAAGAAGUAAUUAAAGGAGUAAUCCGCUAUAAGAUGGGCCCGCGGCGCAUUAGCUAGUUGGUGAGGUAACGGCUCACCAAGGCGACGAUGCGUAGCCGACCUGAGAGGGUGAUCGGCCACAUUGGGACUGAGACACGGCCCAGACUCCUACGGGAGGCAGCAGUGGGGAAUAUUGCACAAUGGGGGAAACCCUGAUGCAGCAACGCCGCGUGAGUGAUGAAGGUCUUCGGAUCGUAAAGCUCUGUCUUCAGGGACGAUAAUGACGGUACCUGAGGAGGAAGCCACGGCUAACUACGU
rnacentral:rRNA from 1 species